rnacentral:lncRNA from 1 species
AUUACAAAUGAUAAAAGACAGAAUUAAAGAUAAUAAAAUAAAAUGUGGUUUACCUGGCUGACUCGUCGCUUUAUGUCUGUGUCUCAAAACCUAGUGCUGCCUGCCUAGACUGAACGAGCGCCCCUCACACAGCGUCUACGAUGCCCAGAAAUGCAGACUAGGUAGACAUGUAAGUAGGCUUGGAGACACAGCCAGUGCCUACGCUCUGGGUUGAGCCUUCAAAACACCUGAGGGGGAAACGCGAAAGUACAGUUGUGUGUGUGUGUGUGUGUGUGUGUGUGUGUGUGUGUGUGUGUGUGUGUGUGUGUGUGUGUUAAGUGUGUUAAUUCGCGCGACAUCUUUAAAGAAGGACCUUUCCGUUCACACGUGGUUUUACGCAGAAAAGUACAGAAGCUUCUGUUUCCUCGAGAAGGGUCUGGUUUCCUCCGCCUCUGAAAAGCUGCUAUUGGUUUAAUCUCAGCUCCCGCUCGCGUCGUUUCCUGUCUUUUGUUCAGGUGUGUCGUAAGAAGUCGCGCUCUGAAGCAGCCAGAGGCGUUUUGACGAUCUCCCGAUAGCCCUCGAACCUUAUACAGUCUCUCUCUUCCAGUUGGCUGUCUCAGAGCCAGUUAUUCAUCCACAGACAUUGAGAGGGGCAGACACUGAAAGAGAAGAGAAGAGUCGGGCUGCUGGCACUGAUCAGGACUCUCAGAGGAAGCAGGAGGUUACAAGGAUGUGUGACCCCACCCUGUACCGUUCACUCUGCGAGCGAGCUGUCGCGUCUUAAAACUUCCUCUAAUGCCCGUAAAUGGACGUGUUAGUCUGAAGUGCACUUGUUUUGGAGUGGUAAUUGAGUGAUUUGUGCCGUGUCUCUUUGCUGUCUAGGGAAGGUAAGACAGAUUAUGGAGUUAUUAGUGAUUUUUCUGCUGUCUUCAGAUGUGUUUUUCUGCCUGUGGCUUUUGACCUGAUGGUUUCUGGUCACAUGACAGGCGGACUGAGAGCAGGGUGGUUCCCCGUCUCUUUUACGCCUGCCCGCUAAUUCUCACAGAGCAGCCUUAAAGGGCCGGAUAUGGGUUUAUGUUUUCCUUAUGUUGCGAGAUGGAGAGAGUGGGGGAAGUGUGCUUGAGUAAGUGAGCGCUCGGAUCCUAAACGCUAACAUAGGGUGAUUUUGUUUUUGCAUUUGAAAAGGUUUGAUGAGGAUGUUGUUACCAUAAAUGGCCAUUGUGUUGGUCUCUCUUUCCUGUCUUAUCUUUAGAGACCAGAGCUGAUGUUGGGGUUCAGAUUUCACUCAGUGACUAGUUAACUGUAAUCUGAUUUAGUUCAGGUUCAGUACAGAAUGACAGUGAGGUUGAGACUUUGAACGACGCUGGUCAUUUCUCCUUUAAAGUCAAGUGCUUUCUGGUGAAAGCCUUUAGGAAUGUUUCUG